UACAGAGGUCCCAAGCGUUGUUCGGAUUCAUUGGGCGUAAAGGGUGCGUAGGUGGCGCCAUAAGUCAGGUGUGAAAUUUCGGAGCUUAACUCCGAAACUGCAUUUGAUACUGUGGUGCUUGAGGACUGGAGAGGAGACUGGAAUUUACGGUGUAGCAGUGAAAUGCGUAGAGAUCGUAAGGAAGACCAGUGGCGAAGGCGGGGUCUCUGGACAGUUCCUGACACUGAGGCACGAAGGCCAGGGGAGCAAACGGG
rnacentral:rRNA from 1 species